GGAAAAGAAACUAACCAGGAUUCCCCCAGUAGCGGCGAGCGAACAGGGAAGAGCCCAGCACCGAAUCCCGCGGCCGCACCGGUCGCCGGGAAAUGUGGUGUUUGGGAGGGUCCGCCAUCCCGAGGUCGCGCGGCGCGUCCAAGUCCUUCUUGAACGGGGCCACUUACCCACAGAGGGUGCCAGGCCCGUUGCGAUCGCCGCCGGCCGCCGGGAGGACCUCUCCUCAGAGUCGGGUUGCUUGAUAGUGCAGCCCUAAGCGGGUGGUAAACUCCAUCUAAGGCUAAAUAUGAUCACGAGACCGAUAGCGAACAAGUACCGUGAGGGAAAGUUGAAAAGAACUUUGAAGAGAGAGUUCAAUAGUACGUGAAACCGUUCAGGGGUAAACCUGAGAAACCCGAAAGGUCGAACGGGGAGAUUCAGCGUGUCUUUCGUCCGCCCGCGAGCGGCGAGCGUACCAGUCGACGGUCGGCGUCCGCGCCGGCCGCGCCGCUCGCCGCCGCAUUACGGGUGGCGAACGCGUGCACUUCUCCCCCAGUAGGACGUCGCGACCCGUUGGGCGCGGGCCUAAGGACCGUGCGGGCAGACCGCGCGGCGCCCUCGCGGGCGUCCGCUCGGACCGCCGGCUCCCGGCCCGCCCGACCCGACGGUACGACAGUGGCGCGGGGCCGCGACAACAAGUUCGCGUCCGGCCCGUCGCAAGUGCUUGCGGUAAAUCCGGCUGUUAAUCGGACCUGGUGCCGACACCGGACCCGCUCGACUGCUGGCGGCGGUGACCUCGGACAGACCCCGUCACACGCCGGUCGGCGACGCUAUAGCUUUGGGUACUUUCAGGACCCGUCUUGAAACACGGACCAAGGAGUCUAGCAUGCGCGCGAGUCAUUGGGACCGUUGCGAAACCCACAGGCGAAAUGAAAGUGAAGGCGCGCCUUGCGCGCGCCGAGGGCGGAUGCGCCGGACGACAAGUGCCGGCGCCGCACGCCCGGGGCGUCUCGCGCUCAUCGCGAGCUGAGGCGCACCCAGAGCGUGCAUGCUGGGACCC
rnacentral:rRNA from 1 species